rnacentral:rRNA from 1 species
AGAGUUUGAUUAUGGCUCAGGAUGAACGCUGGCGGCGUGCUUAACACAUGCAAGUCGAACGAAGCAUUUACCGGAACAUUUUCGGAUGGGAAGUUAAAAUGACUGAGUGGCGGACGGGUGAGUAACGCGUGGAUAACCUACCAUAUACAGGGGGACAACAGUUGGAAACGACUGCUAAUACCGCAUAAGCGCACAGUGCCGCAUGGCACGGUGUGAAAAACUCCGGUGGUAUAUGAUGGAUCCGCGUCUGAUUAGCUAGUUGGUGAGGUAACGGCCCACCAAGGCAACGAUCAGUAGCCGACCUGAGAGGGUGACCGGCCACAUUGGGACUGAGACACGGCCCAAACUCCUACGGGAGGCAGCAGUGGGGAAUAUUGCACAAUGGGCGAAAGCCUGAUGCAGCGACGCCGCGUGAGCGAAGAAGUAUUUCGGUAUGUAAAGCUCUAUCAGCAGGGAAGAAAAUGACGGUACCUGACUAAGAAGCCCCGGCUAACUACGUGCCAGCAGCGGC